CUAUUCGAUAAAACCAACAAAAUUAGAAAGAUACAUAGAAGAUUAGCAUGAUCCUUGAGAAAGGAUGAGACACUAAAUCGAGAAAUGAUCCAAAUUUUU